GACGAACGCUGGCGGCGUGCUUAACACAUGCAAGUCGAACGGAAAGGCCCUGCUUUUGUGGGGUGCUCGAGUGGCGAACGGGUGAGUAACACGUGAGUAACCUGCCCUUGACUUUGGGAUAACUUCAGGAAACUGGGGCUAAUACCGGAUAGGAGCUCCUGCUGCACGGUGGGGGUUGGAAAGUUUCGGCGGUUGGGGAUGGACUCGCGGCUUAUCAGCUUGUUGGUGGGGUAGUGGCUUACCAAGGCUUUGACGGGUAGCCGGCCUGAGAGGGUGACCGGCCACAUUGGGACUGAGAUACGGCCCAGACUCCUACGGGAGGCAGCAGUGGGGAAUAUUGCACAAUGGGCGGAAGCCUAAUGCAGCAACGCCGCGUGCGGGAUGACGGCCUUCGGGUUGUAAACCGCUUUCGCCUGUGACGAAGCGUGAGUGACGGUAAUGGGUAAAGAAGCACCGGCUAACUACGUG
rnacentral:rRNA from 1 species